CACCUCUUGAUGUUUAAUUCUUUUUUUCACAUAUUGAUAUCCAGAGUUUAAAAUGGGUGCACCAAAAAUUUUCUCAAACCUAGACGUGCAUUGCUGAGCAAACUGGGGAUGGUCAAAAUGCUUGGAGGGAUAGCAGAGAGGCCACCAAUAUACUGAGGAUGGAACCCAAAAAUGGUCAUUUUUAGCCAUAAUGACGUGGGUGACAUCAUGGCAGGGGGAAAAAGAAAAGAUGAAGAGGUCAGGAGCAGAAAGUGCCAGAGUCUGAGAGGAGUUCCCCUGCUCUACAGACAAAAUACUUUAACAUGAAACACCUGUCUCUAAAUAGUUGUAGUAAAAUGUAUUUUUUGAGACACUUCCAGGCAGAACUUCACAUCAAGGAAGAACUCUGCUUGUGUUUCCUCAAACUGCUGUGGUUUGAAUGGACCCAAGUGCUUCAUGUAGCUCGUGCCUGCCUUUUGAUGCUGUGCUUUUUAUGAAUCCGGGACAAAAGGAGCAUGUCCAGAUGCUUCUCCCACAAGGGCACCAUCACCAUCACCAGCCAAGCUCUGGGAACCAUUUGCAGCUGGUGGGUUUUGUUGCCACAGGAAAGGCACCUUCAUCCAGCACCAAACCCAGAGCUCUGCAGAGGUACCACCAAAACCCAGGUAUGUUUGUGACAAUUACAGUUUAUUUUGGGGUAAUGGCCACACCUGUGGCCUCCCAGGGCCUGAAGAUGGAUCUAAAGGAGGUUUGUUCUUGCACACACACAGUUCCUCUUUUGCACUAAGCAAAUAAUCUUAAUUGAGAGAGGUGCAGACCUGCUGAUAUCCUCAAAGCU